GUUUAAUUUAGCUGGAAUUUCGUCAAGUGCAGAAUGUGUAUACCUUUCACCGGCUUUAUUAAGCAACGCAGCACCUCUACAAAUGGAUAUUCAAGCAGCACCGCGAAAAGUGCAGCCACGAGCUGGGUAAAAGCUGGAGAUGUAGACCGGCUGUCUAAAAUAUCCCACCGCUGUCCUUAGGACGACAAUGUGCCAGAGAAAAGACUGAAAUGAGAUCCUUGCCAACGGCCGAAACACCGGCAAUGUGCAGAAAUCGUAGGCCAUGCCUGUCGUAGAUUCCUCAUAAGGAUCACGAAUCCGGCGCAUAUAACCACCCACAAGAUCUUAUGGAUGCCCGCAUACAAGGCUAGCCAUAGCGAUGGUUUUGCAAAGUCCAGUCGAAUGAAGAUGUAGCCGGAGAAAAGGACUCCCAACGUGGCCAGCACAAGCAGCCACAUGGUGAGCCCGUACUUAAGAUGACCCAAAAGUUCUACUUUUCCAGAACGAUGUCUGAGGUAAAAGUGACCGCACAGAAAACCAAAAAGAUAGCCUCCCAAAUUUGUGUAAAAGGGGGGAUACAUUUGGUAGAAUGUGUCCGAAUGUCGGAAGUACAAGUAGCGAUACGUUCUAGGGACAUUCACUUAUCAUUGACUGAGAAAUAUAUCAAAAGUUAUAAAAACCUACUCCGGACGAAUAUGGUAGAUGCCAUCCAACUGAAGAGCGUAGGUCAGUACAGCAGGCACUGCAAAGGCAAGUGCAAAAAGAGUUGCGUAGAUGCCCCUUGUCAGCUUGGGAUGUCUAAAAGCAGCACAGAGGUAUUUUUAAAUUCCAAGAUGGGCAAGGAACUCACUUUUUGGUUAUGAUAAUGACUAUAAGAAAGAGCUCAAAUAGCUGCAUGUCAGCUCCUAAGUACCAUGUCUGAUGGGAGCACUACAAUAAAAAUAAGUUAUAUAAUAGGUAAGGUGAUUUUAAAUGCUUCCACUGCAGUGCGCUGCCUUAAACUUCAGGUGGCUUUUCUGAAACGCUGAACGAUAAUUAAAAUAACGUACACUGUCUUCCAGCAUAUGGUUUGUCACGAAGAACACGUUCUUCCACCAGUUGGACCGACAGAAGACCCGCUCGGCCUCCGUAAGAUGUAGCCAAAAGGGGCCGUCUUGAAGGCGCACCAGCAGUGUUCCAUUGAACAGGAUGAGAGCUAGAAGCGACGGCAGGAGUCUAAAGUAUCUGUAGAAAAACACACGGAAGUACACAGCAAUGCACUGAAACGUGCCGGUCUUGGGUUCAAUCAGUUGACGUUUGGUAAAUUUCACGUAGAGAAGAAAGCCACUUAUAACGAAAAAUAUCUGGAUGACCAAGCUGCCGUUCUGGAAUAUUGACGUCUCGAACCUGAAAAGGAACUGCUCAAAAAACUCCGGAUUUUCUAUUGGAACAGUCAUGUAGACCAUAAGCGUGUGGCCCAAGAUCACUAUAAACACGCCGAUCACCCGAAAGCCGUCAAAAAAGCUCACAUCACGCGAGAAAUCUGAGUUAUACGGCUCAACCAAUCGAUGAUAGUUUCGUACCAUUGAGAAGGACGUAAGGAGUCGUUUUCCUGAAGGCCGACCAAAAUCAACUUAAGCGUUCCAAAUUCCUGUAGUUCAUAUCUACUUACCACGACUCUUCGGUGGCUUUCGAUAGAAAUUUUCUGAUUUUUGCGAGCUCAUUCGACUCAUUCGGUAGUCAAGGAAAGAGGAACACAAAGUUGUAAGGAUGAUAACGACCAGAAUACCAUAAAACGUAAAGUCAACCCAAUCUGAGGAAAUAAACUUUACACAGUGCUUCAAUUACCACAUACAGGAAUACAAGCGGAAAACUGCACCAAUACAAUUAUAUAGCUUGUUAAAAAUAAUCUUGACUUACCCAGCUUAAAGUCCUUAUCCGAGGACGAGACACAAUACUCGAUAAGGUUUUGAACCCUGAGCGAAAACUUCUCACCGAACUUAUAGUUUAGGCAGCUGUUCACAACCUUUUUAUGGAGAAGAGCCCUUUCUGAAUUCGUUUCUUGCCGAUGGUGUACCUUGUCGUAGUAGGAUAUAAGUUCCUUAUCCAGUAUUUCAUCUUUCUCGUACUCCCUGAACUCAGAUAUGUUAUUAAUACUUUGCUUGCAGCUCUCCAGACACACGCCCCUGAAGACGUGAUCAUGGCGAAAACGGUGCUUUGAGUCCUUUGAAACUUCGUCAAUUUGGUGCCACAGAGCAGAACUAGCAUUGGGUAAAAUCUCGACGUACACCAAGCAAAAGCUUCAUAUUGCUUAACCCAAGUGACGCCCAGUGAAUAUCGGCAGAUCCAAAUGGGACUUCACGUAGAAUGCAAAAGGAUGGUUAGCAAUGAAGUGCUUGCGACUGAAGCCAGCCACGGGCAUCACCCGG